GACGAACGCUGGCGGCGUGCUUAACACAUGCAAGUCGAACGGUAAGGCCCUUCGGGGUACACGAGUGGCGAACGGGUGAGUAACACGUGGGUGAUCUGCCCUGCACUUCGGGAUAAGCCUGGGAAACUGGGUCUAAUACCGGAUAGGACCACUGCCUGCAUGGGUGGUGGUGGAAAGCUUUUGCGGGGUGGGAUGGGCCCGCGUCCUAUCAGGUUGUUGGUGGGGUGAUGGCCUACCAAGGCGACGACGGGUAGCCGGCCUGAGGGGGUGACCGGCCACACUGGGACUGAGAUACGGCCCAGACUCCUACGGGAGGCAGCAGUGGGGAAUAUUGCACAAUGGGCGCAAGCCUGAUGCAGCGACGCCGCGUGAGGGAUGACGGCCUUCGGGUUGUAAACCUCUUUCAGCACCGACGAAGCGCAAGUGACGGUAGGUGCAGAAGAAGGACCGGCCAACUACGUGCCAGCCGCCGCGGUAA
rnacentral:rRNA from 1 species